AAUAAAUUUUAUGCUAUCCCAGAAAAGCUCUCUUCGUCCCUUAUUCUGGUACCAGAACUUGGCUUUUCCUUGAGGAAACAUCCUUCUUCCUCAUCUACUCCAAGUGGUCCAGGCAAACUACUUCCACCUCUAGACAAGAGCAUGUGACUUAGGCCUGGAUGAUCAGAGUGUUGCAUGUGAUUAGCCUGCUGUGACUGGCUCAGCAGAGACUAAUGCAGAAAACAAGGUAGCAGCUUUGAUGGAGAAGGCAUCAGAGGAAGCUUUUGAUGGAGAGCUUUCCUUUCACACCAGUGAAUCAUGUACACCCCUUAGAAAUAAGUGGGAAGAUAAACAGCAGAGACUCCCCAGUCCAGAAGGCCUCCACAGGUGCUCUUCAGAGGACAGAAAUCCUUGAAGCAGCAGCAGACAUCCAGUGUACCUUGAGAAGCUCUUCUGCAAUACAUGUCCUGAACACUUCUAGCAGAGCCCAGCUGUCAGAGUUGCAGUAAAUGCUAAGAUAUGCAUGUCCAAGUACAAUAGAUAGCCCAGAGCAGAUACUCUCCUUAGAGUGAAACAGAAACUCUCACCACAGCGCUCUUCAGAAAGGCCAGAAACCAGAGAUCCCAGUUCAAAUGCCUUGUUAACUGUUUUUGUUGUGUAGAAAAGUCUAAGAUGCAGUGAGUGGCUAAGAGCUCAGUGGCUGUAGUGAGAGGGACCCGGUUUGAUUCGAAUUCCAUCAUAACCUUGCUGUGUGACCGAAGAUACUGACCUCUCAGUUUCCUCAUCUGUACGGGAGCAAUAAGACAUGACACCUUAUGGUGCUGUGAGGAUUAAAUCAGCUAAAAAUGGAAAGGACACGCCAAUGUUCUCAAGUCUGAAUCCAAGGCUCUGGAAAGUAAAAUUCCCAAUUGGAUUCUCAAAACACUCCUAGGUGGGUAUAAAUAGAAUGACGUUUCCAGCUUAUUUGGAUUUGUAUGGAUGUCAUUCCAAUUUUAGAAUCACCGAGAUUAUUGGCAUAAUUGCGUCACUGUAAAAUUCCAGACAAAAUGUACCAUCAUAUUUAAGCUUUUCUUUUUGAAUAAAAUAAUUGUAUCCUGUUUUUAAAUAAUAAUCUUUGGGAAUUUUGGUUCCAAAGUUGUCUAGGGAAUUAGUUUGGGGGUCAGGUAUAGUCAUAACUUAAGAAACAAAAUGAGUAUAGUACAUAGCAAUAUAUUUCCUGUUUAAAAUGUAGAAUAAGCCCAUUAUUAUGGAAAUAAAAAUAUCAUAAC